UCGGUCCCUGCGAGAAAACAACCCUAGGGCCCUCGGGGGGCCAAAAAAUCACGGGAAAACGGAGCUUACCGGCGGCGGCGCUCUCGGGUACGGCGGCUCUCCGGCGAGGUUCGUGUUUUGGUGAUUCGGCUCCGGUCAACCUGUAGAGAAAAGAGUGGUGAUCACGGUGAUAUAAAAAUUGCAUCAAACGGAGGCCGGGAAGGGCCUCAUCGGAGGCAAAAACCAGGAAGGGCGCGGCGGCGCCGCUGGGAUUC
rnacentral:lncRNA from 1 species